rnacentral:rRNA from 1 species
GACGAACGCUGGCGGCGUGCUUAACACAUGCAAGUCGAGCGGUAAGGCCCUUUCGGGGGUACACGAGCGGCGAACGGGUGAGUAACACGUGGGUGACCUGCCCUCAGCUCUGGGAUAAGCCUGGGAAACCGGGUCUAAUACUGGAUAUGACUCCAUGACGCAUGUUGUGGGGUGGAAAGCCUUGUGCGGCUGAGGAUGGGCCCGCGGCCUAUCAGCUUGUUGGUGGGGUGANGGCCUACCAAGGCGACGACGGGUAGCCGGCCUGAGAGGGCGACCGGCCACACUGGGACUGAGACACGGCCCAGACUCCUACGGGAGGCAGCAGUGGGGAAUCUUGCGCAAUGGGCGAAAGCCUGACGC